UACGGGGGGGGCGAGCGUUGUUCGGAAUUACUGGGCGUAAAGCGUGCGCAGGCGGUUUCUUAAGUCAGAUGUGAAAGCCCCGGGCUUAACCUGGGAACUGCGUUUGAAACUGGGAGACUUGAGUGUGGCAGAGGGGGGUGGAAUUCCACGUGUAGCAGUGAAAUGCGUAGAUAUGUGGAGGAACACCGAUGGCGAAGGCAGCCCCCUGGGUUAACACUGACGCUCAUGCACGAAAGCGUGGGGAGCAAACAGG
rnacentral:rRNA from 1 species